rnacentral:rRNA from 1 species
UACAGAGGUCUCAAGCGUUGUUCGGAUUCAUUGGGCGUAAAGGGUGCGUAGGCGGCGCGGUAAGUCGGGUGUGAAAUUUCGAGGCUUAACUUCGAAACUGCAUUCGAUUCUGCCGUGCUAGAGGACUGGAGAGGAGACUGGAAUUUACGGUGUAGCGGUGAAAUGCGUAGAUAUCGUAAGGAAGGCCAGUGGCGAAGGCGGGUCUCUGGACAGUUCCUGACACUGAGGCACGAAGGCCAGGGGAGCAAACGGG